rnacentral:tRNA from 1 species
GCCCCUUUAGUUCAAUGGCUAGAACGAGUGUUUUGUAAACACCUGAUACUGGUUCGACUCCGGUAAGGGGCUCCA